UGUCUGAUUAGUCCUUGACCAGCAUGGCUGAGUGGAGUGGAGGGCGUUCAUCCUGUGAAGAAGCAGAGAGAAGGAAGGGUCUGCCGAGUUGGGGUCUGGGCUUGGACAGAGUCCACACUGCAGAGAACCUUCCUCAAGAUGCACUGUCAUCAGACUUCCUGUCCUUAACAAAUUCUGUUGUGGAAAUAAACGAAACCGGAUGAGGAAGAAUGUGAACUUGAGCUGUACGCAGCCCCAAUCCUCCAAACAAAUGUGAAAUUACAGCAGUGAUGACGCUCCCAACACGCUCAUUACAGUGCCUGGAAUAUACUGGAUGCCCAACACAA